UGAUGUCCGUGACCCUGAUGGUGACCGUGGCCGUGCUGAUGGCCAUGAGCAUGGUGUUGACCAUGCGCAUGAUGGUGGUCAUGAUCACGGUCAAGA